rnacentral:piRNA from 1 species
UGUCUGGAGAGGUCCUGACUGCCCAGCC